rnacentral:pre_miRNA from 1 species
AUUACCUGGGAAGCUUGUUAAAAUGCAGAUUCUGAGGCAGGUCCUGAGAUUCUGUAUUUCUAACAAGCUCCCAGGGGAUGUCCU